AUCCCAUAGUGAGGACACUUACAAAGUAACUCCUUAAAUCACUCCCAAGCCUCAUACAAAGACUCGUCAUCCAAUUGUUGGAAUGUUGUGAUCUCGUUCCUCAACUU
rnacentral:snoRNA from 1 species